GCCUUCGUGGUGUAGUGGUCAGCACGCUCGGCGCGUAUUCGAGAGGUCCGUGGUUCGAAUCCCGGCGAGGACA
rnacentral:tRNA from 1 species